rnacentral:rRNA from 1 species
AUACGUAGGGGGCGAGCGUUGUCCGGAAUGAUUGGGCGUAAAGGGCGCGUAGGCGGCCCGGUAAGUCUGGAGUGAAAGUCCUGUUUUUAAGAUGGGAAUUGCUUUGGAUACUGUCGGGCUUGAGUGCAGGAGAGGUAAGUGGAAUUCCCAGUGUAGCGGUGAAAUGCGUAGAGAUUGGGAGGAACACCAGUGGCGAAGGCGACUUACUGGACUGUAACUGACGCUGAGGCGCGAAAGUGUGGGGAGCAAACAGGAUUAGAUACCCUGGUAGUCCACACUGUAAACGAUGAAUGCUAGGUGUAGGGGGUAUCGACCCCUUCUGUGCCGCAGUCAACACAAUAAGCAUUCCGCCUGGGGAGUACGGCCGCAAUGUUGAAACUCAAAGGAAUUGACGGGG